rnacentral:rRNA from 1 species
UUGUCUCAAAGAUUAAGCCAUGCAUGUCUCAGUACAUACCUCAUUAAGGUGAAACCGCGAAAGGCUCAUUAUAUCAGUUAUGGUUCAUUAGAUCGUACUUCACAUUUACUUGGAUAACUGUGGUAAUUCUAGAGCUAAUACAUGCAAACAGAACUCCGACCGGAGACGGAAGGAGCGCUUUUAUUAGAUCAAAACCGAUGGGCGUCGGCGGCCGGCGUGAUCGUGCGCCGCGUCGUCUACGUCGCAUAGCUCACACGAUGAAUCUGAAUAACUUUAUGCCGAUCGCACGGUCAAGCACCGGCGACGCAUCUUUCAAAUGUCUGCCUUAUCAACUUUCGAUGGUAGGUUAUGCGCCUACCAUGGUUGUAACGGGUAACGGGGAAUCAGGGUUCGAUUCCGGAGAGGGAGCCUGAGAAACGGCUACCACAUCCAAGGAAGGCAGCAGGCGCGCAAAUUACCCACUCCCGGCACGGGGAGGUAGUGACGAAAAAUAACGAUACGGGACUCAUCCGAGGCCCCGUGAUCGGAAUGAGCACACUUUAAAUCCUUUAACUAGGAUCAAUUGGAGGGCAAGUCUGGUGCCAGCAGCCGCGGUAAUUCCAGCUCCAAUAGCGUAUAUUAAAGUUGCUGCGGUUAAAAAGCUCGUAGUCGAAAUUGUGUCCCGGGCCGCCGGUUCGUCGCUCGCGACGUCAACUGGCGCGCACGCGGGACGUCCAGCCGGUGCUCGAACCCGCCGACGGUGCUCUUAACCGAGUGUCCAGGCGGGGGCCGGCAACGUUACUUUGAACAAAUUAAAGUGCUCAAAGCAGGCUAAACUGCGCUCGCAUAAUCAGUGCAUGGAAUAAUCGAAUAGGACCUCUGUUCUAUUUUGUUGGCUUUUGUAGAACAAACAGAGGUAAUGAUCAAUGGGUGCGGAUGGGGGCAUUCGUAUUGCGACGUUAGAGGUGAAAUUCUUGGAUCGUCGCAAGACGCACUAAAGCGAAAGCAUUUGCCAAAAACGCUUUCAUCGAUCAAGAACGAAAGUUAGAGGUUCGAAGGCGAUCAGAUACCGCCCUAGUUCUAACCAUAAACUAUGCCAGCCAGCGAUCCGCCGAAGUUACUACUAUGACUCGGCGGGCAGCUAUCGGGAAACCAGAGCUUUUGGGUUCCGGGGGAAGUAUGGUUGCAAAGCUGAAACUUAAAGGAAUUGACGGAAGGGCACCACCAGGAGUGGAGCCUGCGGCUUAAUUUGACUCAACACGGGAAACCUCACCAGGCCCGGACACCGAAAGGAUUGACAGAUUGAGAGCUCUUUCUUGAUUCGGUGGGUGGUGGUGCAUGGCCGUUCUUAGUUGGUGGAGCGAUUUGUCUGGUUAAUUCCGAUAACGAACGAGACUCUAACCUGCUAAAUAGCC